UUAUAAACGAAAUGAAAAAAAAAGAAACGAACAAUAACAAUAUAAUAUGCCCCCUUUGAAAGGGAUAACAAAGAACGUCCUAUAGCAGAUGCACGACUAUUAAACAAGAGGGGAUCCUAUAAACCGCCCAGGGUAUCGUAUAGAACACCCUGUUAUAGAUACAUGAACAACGAACAGGGGAUCCUAUAGACCGCCCUGGGGAUCCUAUAAAACGCCCUAUAGCAGAUACACG
rnacentral:lncRNA from 1 species